rnacentral:rRNA from 1 species
UAAAUUUAGUGCUGCGAGUAUAUAGGGGAAUCGCUAUAAGUAAACGCUCUAUACCGGGAAUAGCCGGCCGUCCGACCGACCGUCCGUCCGGGAGGAAAGAAACCAGCCAUGGGGGACGGUGGUGGUGGUGAUGGCGCCGCCGCCUCCUCGUCGCCGCCGGCCGCCGCGGCCGCCCCGGGGUUCUCCUACCUCGCCGUCUUCCACAACUUCCCCCUCGUCGCCGCGCUGCUCGGCUUCGCCAUCGCGCAGUCCAUCAAGUUCUUCCUCACCAGGUAUAAGGAGAAGAGAUGGGAUCCUAAGCGGCUUAUCGGCUCCGGUGGCAUGCCGUCGUCGCAUUCCGCGACCGUUACAGCAUUAUCAGUAGCCAUUGGCUUCCAAGAGGGCUUCGGCAGUGCCCUCUUUGCCACAUCAACGAUAUUCGCAAGUGUGGUGAUGUACGAUGCUUCUGGUGUCAGAUUGCAUGCUGGAAAGCAAGCAGCGGUGUUGAACCAAAUAGUCUGUGAACUACCGGCUGAACAUCCCUUGGCUGAAACAAGACCAUUGCGUGAACUUUUAGGCCAUACCCCGACCCAGGUUGUCGCCGGUGCGGUGCUUGGGUGUAUGAUAGGUAUUGCAGGGCAAAUUAUCAUUGCAGUGACAAGUGUUGUAUGAUGCUUGCCGUGUCUCAAGGUGCAGGAGAAUUGCUAGUGUUUGCAGAGACCUGAGAAGAAGAAGCUUCUCUGGUGUUUCUGUGACUUAGGUAUCGGUUCGAUGUGUAAUGUUGUGCUGUAGUGCUGUUGAGAAUCAAGUUUUGAUAGCACCUAAUUGUAUGUUCAGGUGAUGUUCUCAGGCUUGAUGUACAGAAUAUCUAUUCGAUAACUUCAUUGCUCUGGUGAAAGCUAGAAAGUGGAUGCGUCACUAGUUAUAAUGUCUCGCUAAUUUUGUUCUUUACGCCUGUUUAGAUAGGGAUGGCUCGGGUUAGAAUUCAUGGG